UGUAGAAGAGUAGGGGCAUGUGUGUUUUAAGGCUAACUUGCAGGCUGUUGUUGCCCAGUUUUACAUUGCUGCCCCAAUCACUGUGAAGAAGAGGUGUACAGUUCUAGGAACACAUGUCCACUGGAGGACAGUGGAAAGAUAUGUGCUAACAGAACCAGAAAUCCUUCUUCCACUCUACUUAUGGCCUGGGAAAGCAGUGGAAGAUGGCCCAAGUUUGAGCCCCAGCUCCUACGUGGGAAACCCGUAAGAAGCUCCUGGCUUUGGAUCUGCCCAGUUCCAGCCCAGUUGUAGCCAUCUGGGGAAUGAACCAGCAGAUGGAAGACCCUCCUCUCUCUCUGACUCUGUCUCUCAAAUAACUAAAUAAAAUCUUUAAAAAAAAAAAAAAAGGUAUGAGAGCAGAACUCACUAAAGUGUUGUGGGUGCCAGGGAGCCAGGGCAGGAGUGGAGGCAUGGAGGGACCAUCAUGUCAAGUGCCAGAGUGGUCAAGAAGAUCAAGGGGAGAAGAAAGCCCAUUGAGACUUUCUUGAAGCUUGUCAAACAUGUUUGCUUUCUUUAUACGUCUUGUUCACUUAGUGCAUAGAUUGAAUAAGUUACUGUUUUCAUCUGUUGGGUCAGUGUGUUGACUGAGUUAAGUCUAGUUGGCCACGGUUCAAAAUGUUCUGACCUUAUAAUGCCAAGGGUAGUGAUUCAGGCUGAGCCAUUUACAUGGUCUUUAGCUGAGGAACCAGCUGACAAGCAGCUGAGAGUGACAUCAUUGUGGCCAUUAUAAAAGGCAGGAGAAGGGGGUGCUGGAGGCUGCUUCCAACAGACUAGAACGGAGACCUUCACAGUUCAGAGGCCCAGAUCAGAAGGAGAGUGGCUCUCAUCGGCAGCAGGCUCCUCUGAGUGUCAGCAAAGACUCAGAACAGUUGAUGCAACUCAGUGAUUUUUAUUGCAACUGGAAGACAAUACAUCACAGAAACUUUAUGACACCAGGCAACACAUGACCAGCACUUUGGAAGCAGAAUCCCCCUAUGCAAUGCCCUCUCCCAGCUGCUGCUCACCAACAAGCCUCAUCUUACCCAGGUAAGGGUACCAGCUAUCCUGAAAAAAAAUUCAUGGAUACGCUGUGCCUGUUCUUGAAUUUCAUCUGGAUUAAAAAAUGCAGGAUGUGUUUGGUGUUUGGAAUUUUUUGCUCAACAUUUUGUGGGAUUCAUCCACACUGUUGAGUGACGCUGUAGUUGACCUCUGUUACCUUUUGAGACUUUAUAAAUACAUGUUCAUUUGAAAUGAAUCGAUACCAGAUAAAAUCCCAGGUUUAUAGGAAACCUCCAAUAACUCCCAACUGUUGAGCACAUAGUGACAGAUGUUUCAUUGAGAAAUGAUGACAUCCGUGAAUGACAUCACUUAACCCUCUUAACAGUUUCCUGAGGCGUAGGCAUCUUGGUCCCCACUCACUGAUGAAGAAACUCAGACGUUAACUAGCUUGAUAUUCAGUGACCAGCUGAAGCAAGCUCAUCUGAAUCCCUGUCCCUCAGGGAACGAUGCCUGUGCUUUACUGACCUCUACUCAGUCUUCUCUCCCACACUGCACUCUAGUAAGGAGCCCUUCGGAGUGAGUAUGCAUGUAGUAGGUAAAUUAGGAAAAGAGGCUGGUACUAAUUUAGAGAUACUGCCUUGGGGUCAUCUGUGCCAUGUGGCAGCACAGUUUCCCAGGACCUCUUUGCUAGCUGGAACUGUGGCUAUCCUGACAGCUUUAGGUUCUUUGCCUGAGGCUGACAGAGAGAGCCAGAGCUGGAGUAGCUGAGGAAUGGGCCAGACCCUGCCUCUGUAGUACAGAUUUGGAUCUCAGGAUAAAGUCAGGAAGGAUUGUCUCCAGUUACGUCCUGUUUUCCUAUGGGCUCCAACAGUCACAGGGCAUGGGCCCAGCUGGAGGUCAACUCCAGCCAGCUGUGCUCAAUUUUUCUUGUAGGGGGUGGUGACCUUGGUCUGACUCAGCCCAGUUGAGUAGUGGAUGGCCUUGUCAGCCUGUGAGCUACAACUGUGGAGCUUUUCUCUGGAGGCAAAAUCUCCUGGCCUGGGAUCUGCUGUGCUUAGUUCUCAGCUGUAAUGAACAAGCAUUCAUAAAGAGCAAAGUUUUUUUUUCUUAGGGUUUUCUUAGGCCAACAUUUGGUCUUCAGUUUUUGCAGGCUUGAAAUAUUCCAGGUUUCAUUUGAUGUUUUUGCAUCUGUUCAUGGAAGAUACCAGCUAGCAAGACCA